UAAAGAAGUACCUUAGAAUAGUUAUUUGAUGCCAUUGGGCAAAAGAUGUCUAUUAAAAUACAAAAACAAAGAACAACAAAAACUGUAAGCACAUAUUUUUGAAUCACUGUAAAUGCUCAGAAGCAUUUUUAUUGAGUGGAUUCACUCUUUUGUCAAAACCAAGCCUUCAGUUUUAAAGGUAUGUACUUUCAGAGAUGAUCUGUAGAAACAUGUUCAUUGCAGGGUAAACCACACCCUGGUGCAGCGAGAUUUACAGCAUGCCUCAUUCACCAGGCAAUAAGAAGAGGAAAGAACAGCUCUAAAGUUUAAUCUAUUCUGUAGCGGAAAUAUUUAUGCACUGAUGUUCCCAAAUAUUUAGAAGAAUUUUCUGUGAAUUUUACUCAAGGGCAGCACAUGAGGCUAUUUUCUUCCCUCCUUUAAGGUUUUCCUCCAGAACCAGUUCUUCCCAUCAGUAGUUGCCAAGACAGAGGUACAGCUUCUUGAAGUGCUUAUUAAGCAGUUUACCAAGGGAAAAGAGGAGCAGGGGAUUCGUGGUCAACAAGAGCAGAGGAUGGAGAGAUGAUCUGAAAGAAUAACUAGAACAUUAAUCAGUGGGAUCUCCAGCACCCUUCCUCCCCAGAAGGAUUUUGACUGCUACACAGUUUGAGUUUUUGUGAGCACACCAGGAACAGAAUUUGGUAUAGCAGUUGAUCUGAAUCUGUGGCACAGAAGUGAGGGCAGCAGAAAGUAGCCCAGGGAGUCUGACACUCUCCCUCUUAUGAUGGCAUUGGAAAGUAUCCAGUCGUACCUGCUUUCUUCUGCAGAUCUCAAAGAUUCAUACGAAAGAAAGUACAUUUCAUUGGUGCAUGAAUGGAAAUUUAAAAGGUUU
rnacentral:lncRNA from 1 species